GAUGAAGAACGUAGCGAAAUGCGAAAAGUAAUGUGAAUUGCAGAAUUCAGUGAACCAUCGAAUCUUUGAACGCACAUUGCGCCCGCUGGAACUCCGGCGGGCACGCCUGUCCGAGCGUCAUUUCAACCCUCAGGCCCCCCUUCGCGGGCGGGCCUGGUGUUGGGGCCCGGCCGCUACCCUGCGGCCGUCCCCUAAAUUCAGUGGCGGCCUCGCCGUGAUCCCUUGCGUAGUAAUGCACCUCGCACCGGAGAGCGCCGUGGCCACGCCGUAAAACCCCCAAUUUUCAAUGGUUGACCUCGGAUCAGGUGGGAAUACCCGCUGAACUUAAGCAUAUCAAUAAGCGGGGA
rnacentral:misc_RNA from 1 species